GAUGAACGCUGGCGGCGUGCCUAAUACAUGCAAGUCGAGCGAACAGACGAGGAGCUUGCUCCUCUGACGUUAGCGGCGGACGGGUGAGUAACACGUGGAUAACCUACCUAUAAGACUGGGAUAACUUCGGGAAACCGGAGCUAAUACCGGAUAUUUUUUUGAACCGCAUGGUUCAUUAGUGAAAGACGGUUUUCCUGUCCCUUUUAGAUGAAUCCGCGCCGCAUUAGCAGGUUGGUAAGGUAACGGCUUACCAAGGCGACGAUGCGUAGCCGACCUGAGAGGGUGAUCGGCCACACUGGAACUGAGACACGGUCCAGACUCCUACGGGAGGCAGCAGUAGGGAAUCUUCCGCAAUGGGCGAAAGCCUGACGGAGCAACGCCGCGUGAGUGAUGAAGGUCUUCGGAUCGUAAAACUCUGUUAUUAGGGAAGAACAAAUGUGUAAGUAACUAUGCACGUCUUGACGGUACCUAAUCAGAAAGCCACGGCUAACUACGUG
rnacentral:rRNA from 1 species